rnacentral:lncRNA from 10 species
AAGAAGCAAACAGCCUGCAGAUGGGACACUUAUUCACCCCUGAUGCAAGUGUGACUGGCCUUCUUGGAUCAUUCAACCAGCAGAUGAAGAAAAAGAGGGCGAAUGGAGAAUUAUAUGUCAGAGAAUUUUAUGGAUCUUACUGGAACAGAAAUAUCAGCAGUUUGUGGCAUUAAGCCCACAAAUUUCAGGAAGUUGGAUUCCAAACUCUAGGACAUGAGGUCCAAGUCUGCUGGAGUUUGCUGUCGGUCCACUCCAGACCCUGUUUGCCUGGAUAUCACCAGCAGAAGCUACAGAACAGCCAAGAUUGCUGCCCUUUCCUUCCUCUGGAAGCUUUGUCUCACAUGGGCACCCACCAGAUGCCAGCCAGAGCUCUCCCAUAUGAGGUGUCUGUCAACCCCUUCUGGGAGGUGUCUCCCCAUCAGGAGGCACAGGGGUCAGGUACCCACUUGAGGAGGCAAUCUGUCCCUUAGCAGAGCUCAAGUGCUGUGCUUGGAGAUCCACUUCUCUCCUCAGAGCCAGCAGUCAGGAAUGUUUAAGUCUGCUGAAGCUGUGCCCACAGCCAACCUUCCCCCAGGUGCUCUGUUCCAGGGAGAUGAGAGUUUUAUCUAUAAGCCCCUGACAGGGGCUGCUGCCUUUCUUUCAGAGAUGUCCUGCCCAGAGAAGAAGAAUCUAGAGAAGCAGUCUGGCUACAGCGGCUUUGUGGAGCUGCAGUGGGCUCUGCCCAGUUUGAAAUUUCAGGCCGCUUUCUUUAUACUGUGAGGGGAAAACCGUCUACUCAAGCCUCAGUAAUGGUGGAUGCCCUUCUCUGCACCAAGCUCGAGCAUCCCAGGAUGACUUCCGACUGCUGUGCUGGCAGCGAGAAUUUCAAGCCAGUGGAUCUUAGCUUGCUGGGCUCCAUGGAGAUGGGAUCCACUGAGCUAGACCACUUGGCUCCCUGGCAUCAGCCCCAUUUCCAGGCAAGUGAAUGGUUCUCUCUCCCUGGCAUUCCAGGUGCCACUGGGUUAUGAACAAAAACUCCUGCAGCUAGCUUGGUGUCUGCCCAAACAGCCGCCCAGUUUUGUGCUUGAAACCCAGGGCCCUGGUGGCGUAGGCACCUGAGGGAAUCUCCUGGUCUAUGGGUUGUGAAGACCAUGGUAAAAAGGUAGUAUCUCGGCUGGAAAGCACCGCUUCUCAUGGCACAGUCCCUCAUGGCUUCCCUUGGCUAGGGGAGGGAGUUCCCCAACCCCUUGCACUUCCCGGGUGAGGUGAUGCCCCACCCUGCUUCAGCUUGCCCUCUGUGCACCCUCUGUCUAACCAGUCUCAAUGACAUGAGCUGGGUACCUCAGUUAGAAAUGCAGAAAUCACCUACCUUCUGCAAUGAUUUUGAUGGGAGGUGCAGACGAGCUGUUCCUAUUCAGUCAUCUUGCCAGCCACACAUGCCCAUCUUCAUUCCAUUAUUUCAUUUACUCUAAACAUACUUUCAGGCAGUUCUUAAAAUUUACUCCAUUUUAACUAUAAUGAAUCCAUGUAUGAAUGCAUUUGUCUUUUUCUGGCUCUUUCAUAGUGCUUCUUGAAUUGGAUGAUUCUUGUCUUUUUUAAAUUCUGGAAAAUUCUCACACAUUCUAUGUUUAGUUUGACCUCCUUAUUCUUCACAGUCUGUUAUUAUGGAAGUACUAUGCUUAACACGUUGCGUCUCUCUGUUUUCUUCGAUGUUACCAACAAGAUGUCUUAAACUAUCACCACCUGCCCCUACAAAUGUACACAGGUUAGGAUGUUUCAUUUAUCGUUUUCUGCUUGUGAUACAACUUGGCUGUAACAGAAGUUCUUUCAGUGUUGAGGCUCAGAAACUCUCAAAGUUGAUAUUUAGUCCCUGACUAUAAUAAGAUGUGGGAAGAGGGGACAUUUCAAACUCUCCAUGUUGGUCCCUUGCCCCACUCAUUGAGGAAAGUGAAGUCUAUUUUGCAAAAUUAAGGCUGAGUCAGUGAAAGAGAUCUAACAUAACUGCCUCCGUCUUGCUUCUAAAACCCAAACUGUCCUUGUUCAUUCCUGGGCAUAGGCUGAGCUAACUUUGGGAGAAACUUAUUUAUAGUUUAUAGUUUAAAACUAAGAUGAUGAGGUGGGGGGCAGCCCCCGCCCGGCCAGCCCCCCCGUCCGGGAGGUGGGGGGCAGCCCCCGACAGGCCAGCCGCUCCGUCCGGGAGGUGGGGGGCAGCCCCCACCCGGCCAGCCACCCCCUGCGGGAGGUGGGGGGCAGCCCCCGCCCGGCCGCUGCCCUGUCCCGGAGGUGGGGGGCGCCUCUGCCUGGCUGCCCCAUCUGGGAAGUGGGGAGCCCCUCUGCCCGGCCGCCACCCAAUCUGGGAGGUGUACCCAGCAGCUCAUUGAGAAUGGGCCAUGAUGACGAUGGCAGUUUUGUCGAGUAGAAAGGGGGGAAAUGUGGGGAGAAGACAGAGAGAUCGGAUUCUUGUUGUGUCUGUGUGGAAAGAGGUGGAAAUGGGAGACUCCAUUUUGUUCUGUACUAAGAAAAAUUCUUCUGCCUUGGGAUGCUGUUAAUCUAUAACCUUACCCCCAACCCCGUGCCCUCUGAAACAUGUGCUGUGUCCACUAAGGGUUAAAUGGAUUAAGGGCGGUACAAGAUGUGCUUUGUUAAACAGAUGCUUGAAGGCAGCAUACUCCUUAAGAGUCGUCACUACUCCCUAAUCUCAAGUACCCAGGGACGCAAACACUGCGGAAGGCGGCAGGGCCCUCUGCCUAGGAAAACCAGAGACCUUUGUUCACAUGUUUAUCUGCUGACCUUCCCUCCACUAUUGUCCUAUGACCCUGCCAAAUCCCUCUCUCCGAGAAACACCCAAGAAUGAUCAAUAAAUACUAAAAAAAUUAAAAAACAAAAACAAAAAAAACUAAGAUGAUAACAGCCCUUUCCCAAAGCAGGCCUCCUUCUUGCCUGGGGACUAGAUUGCCUCUGUAGGACUAACAUUAGCUACAAGAUUAGAAAUUAUGGCUAAAGGGCAUUGCAGCUUGAGACUACAAGAUUCUUACCCUCCCUAAACUGCUCCUAAGAUCAGUGCUUGAGAUAUUUUGCAGACUCUGCAAAUUUUAGUGCCUUAAUCAAUUAAACUCCAAUUAUAUAUUUAAAAUAUUGAUUAUUUUGAAUGUGUUUUAAAUGCUUAUGUAACAGCAAAAUAUCACAUAUAGAGUGAUUACAAGCUAGUUGUCAUAUUUACCUUUAUGUCUAUUCUAAAAUAAUAAUAAUAAUGCAAGGUAAAAUCAUUUCAUUGUUAUUCUAUACUAGUUUUUAUAUCUAACUAGAUAUAUAAUUUGAUAUAUUCUUAAGGUUGUAUAAUACAUAUUUUAUCACAUUUUCCAGUUUACAACAAUCUUAGAGAAAAUAAAGAGAAAGAAAAAAAUUUGAAAGGCAUAAUGGAAAAUAUCAGAAUAUUUUAUGUUAAAAUCAACAAUACAGCACACAUAACUUGAUGGAACCAUUUGAGAUCCUGAAAAUAAAAAUACCUUUAAAGUACUUCAAAAAAGAAAAUAUGCUUAUAAACUUUAAAUAGAAAAACUAUAUUAUAAAAAACAGCAGAGAAUAUUUCUGCAAGAUAUUAAAUUAAUUAUAUAAAUACUACAUUUUUAAAAGAGUUCUGUAAUUGGCCCAUGAGAAGAGAGUUCAAUGGGGCAGAGUUUGGAAAUGCAAAUCCUUAGGGGAAUUUGGUUUAUGACAAAAAUAACAUCUCGGAUAUCUGAAGAAAGAUGGAUUACUUAAUAAAUAAAAAAACAACUAGGUAUUUUUUGAAAAAAUAAUGUCAGAUUUUAAUCUCAAUUAUUAUAUAAGAAAUCAUUUUGCAUGGGUUAGUUUCAAAAUUUAAAAUAAAUGAAAGAGUCAUUGUUAUAAUCUUGAAAUGUGGUCUGGAAAACUCUUACUAAGAAAACGUAGGACUUGGACACUGUGAAAAGAAGAAACUGUUGAAUUGUACAACAUAAAAAUAAGUCACUAAAUUGAAUUUCAAACUGGUCAAGAAUGUAUAGAAAAGGUAUAACAGAUCAAACACUAAUUCAUUAUAUUCAAAUUUUGGUUCAUUAAAAUUAAAAAUGUCUGCUCUGCAAAAGCUUUUGUUAAGAGAAAAAAAAGACAAGCCACAGACUAAAAAAAAAUUGCAAAAGAUAGCUGAUGAAGGAUUCUAUGCAGAAUAUACAAAUUAACAGUGUAAAAACAAACCGCACAAUUAAAAAUAGACAAAAUAUCUGAACAGAUACUUUAUUAAAGAAGAUAGAUGACAAAUAAAGAUGUUAAAAUGCUCAAAAUCAUAUAUCAUUUAGGAAUUGCAAAUUCAAACAAUGAGAUACUACCCUAAACCUAUUAUAAGUAUGGCUGAAAUCAAAAAUACAAACAAGGACGUGAAGAACAGGAACUCUCAUUCAUUGCUGGUGGGAGUGCAAAAUGGUAUAGGAACUUUGGAAGACAGUUUGACAUUCUUGCAAAGCUGAAUAUAAGCUUACUAUAUAAUCUAGAAAUUGUGCUUCUAAGUAUAACCCAAAUUAGUUGAAAACUUGAUACAAAUGCUUAAAGAGUCUUUUCUAAUACUUGUUAAAAUUGGAAGCAGUCAAGAUGUGCUUCAGUAAGUGAAUGAAUAAACAAACUAUGAUAAGUCCAUACAAUGAACUAUUACUCAGUGAUAGAAAGAAAUGAGUUAUGAAGCCAUUAAAAGACAUGUAGGAAGAUUAAAUACAUAUUACUAAGUGAAAUAAGUCAGUUUGAAAAGGGCACAGACUGUAUGAAUCCAACCGUAUGAAAUUCUGAGUCAGACCUAUAGAGACAGUAAAAAGAGCAGUAAUUGGCCAGGCUUCAGGGGAAGGGAGGGAUGAACAGGUGAAGCACAGGACAUUUUUAUGAUGGUGAAAUUAUAUCCUAUGAUACUAUAACAGUGGAUACAUAGCAUAAUACAUUUAUAUAAUGAAUUUGAGAAUUUCAGAGGCUUAUCAAGGAAAAAGAUAAGCCCACAGGUGGCAGUAGCACACAAAGCUUCUACUUGGACGCUACUUGGACAGGGUUGCAAAAAGAACAGUCCUCACAGCAUAAGGCCUUAUAGAAGCACAGGGGACCACCAUCCAGAACGCAGGAGGACAAAGGAGCUCCCAAGGAUGGGAAGGGAGAUGCUGCAUGUCUAGAUAACAUCACUUCACAGCAUGGUAGGAAGCUGCUGGGUCAGAGGGCUCUGAAGGGCAGCAGCCUGCAGUUUAUGUAACUACAAGAUUUUUCUUAUCUAUGGCCGGCAGAUGUUGGGUGCAGUUUCCCAAGGUGUACAAAGCAGGAAGACAUAAAAUGGCAAAAAAAAUCUGCCUGUUGGAGAUAUAUUUACAACAACUGGAUGCGAAAACAUUUCAGUUUGGCACUGUGGGCUUUUGAGCUAAUGAGUCUCAGCCUGAUUUAAGAAGUAAGCAACAAAGGGCCAAUAUGCAAAGGCCAUCUCUGGCUCAUUUAUAUAACAAUUUGUUAAAUCCUAGAGAAUGGUACAACACAGAGUGUCUAAUGUAAACUUGGACUUUUGUUAAUAAUAAUCUAUCAAUAUUGGUUCAUUAAUUUCAAUAAAUGUAUCACACAAAUGCAAGAGGUUAUCAAAAGGGGAAACUCUGUGGGAGGGGGGCAGGUAGGGAAGAGGGAGUGGGGCUAUGUGGGAACUUUAUAUACCUUCUGCACAAUUUUUCUGUGAACCUAAAACUUCUAUAGAAAAUAAAGUCUAUAAAAAUGUUAAAAGUCAAUGAGGAGAAAAAGGAGAGCGAAAUAAAUGGAAACUUGGGGGAAAUUUUGUAAUUCACAAAAUAAAAUCAAAAGUCAAAACCAAAUAAUUCUGCACAUCCAAAAUAUAACUAACAAGUCCAUUGAAUUAUAAACUGGUCAGAAACACAUGCAACAGUUAUAACAGAUCAAAAAGAGAUUUGUGCAAGUUUAAUGCAAAGGAAAUGUGGAGUAAGGCAUUAAGUAGGCAGUUUAGAGAAAAUGAAUACAAUUUUUUGAGAGGAAAGAAGGCCACCCUAACUCAAUAAACAAGUAAAAUAUUAUCACUGUGAGUUUCUAUUUUUCAUCUGUAAAUUUGGAAAAUACAAAAAACCCUGAAACCUGUAACACCCACCUGACAAACUCACAUAUGCUGUUGGUGGACAUGUACACUGGUAACUAUUUCAGAAUAUUUUUGAUAUCGUAAUAAAAACAGCACAUAGCCUUUGACAAAAUAGUUCUAUUCAUAGAAAUAUUUCCUACAUUCUUACUUACAGAUAUGCUCAAAACAUAUGUACAAGGGUGUUUGUGGCAGCUUUCGUUUUAUUAGCCAAAGACUGGACACUACCCAACUACACAUUGGUAAGAUUUGUACCAUGUAACAAGUAGCUUUUGCCAGAAAUUUUAAAUCUUGUAUGCCACUUAUUGGUUCAGGAUUUUAAUGUAUAUGUCUCUAAAUAAACUAUAUUUAUGUCUGCUUUGCAUUGAUCCCCUUCCACUGCAAAUUUUCAUCACCUAUCGAGGUCCCACCAGCCUAUUGUGUCUUUGCUUAUCUUACUGUACAGAUAACUCACAUGGAUUCCAAUAUGGACCACAAUUUGGACAGCUUCUUCAUUGUAUAAGAUAUAAGUAAAUCAUGUCACCUCAAUACAAAUAUUGAGUUCUUGAGGGCAAAUGUUAGGUCUUCUUCAUUUGUUGUUGUUUUUUUUUUUCUCCCUGGAACCUAAUACAUGAUAAAGACUUGCUGAUUAGAAGUAAUUUUUCCUAACCAUAAGACAGUUCUUAUAGUACAUAUCCUCAUUACAUAACUAUGUAUUAAACCUAAGGAAAAUGCUCAAGAGUUUGUCCCUUUUGUUUGGUCCUUGCUUUUUCUGGCACACUUCAUAUUGCCAAGGCCCGUAAGGGUAAGAGAGAGAGUCAUACCUGAACUUGAUAUUGUCAUCUGGAGGAGAUUCAUAACAACAAAGUAUCUGGAGAAAGAUAGCCCUGUAGUUUCCAUUAUACCUGUGAUAAGAAAUUAGGCAGGUUCAGUGAGAACAGGAUUAAUAUGUCACAGAAAUCACAUAUCUCCACAUCUUCCUGCAGUAAUUAACUCUCAAAUAGAGUUACCAGAUGAAACGUAGAACCCCCAGUUAGAUUUGAAUUUCAGAUCGGCAGUGCAAGUUUUUUGGUAUAAAUAUUUCUUGUGCAUCAUAUAAUUUUUAUUUUCUAAAUCUGGUAACUCUACUUUUAAGAUGUUCAAUAUAAUGACCAAGUCCAGCCAGAGGCUUCUUUCUCAUUAAAGGAUUUCUU